rnacentral:rRNA from 1 species
ACUUUUCCGCAAUGGUGAAGAGCCUGACGGAGCAAUAAAGCACUUUAAAGAAGGAGGAAGGGUCGUGAACUUAUUUUCCCGGGGAAGAAGCAUUCACGCUGUAUAAGGAAUAAGCAUCGGCUAACUCAGCACCAGCAGUAACGGUAAGGCAGCGGAUGCUAAUGGUAUCUGGAAGGAUUAGGGGGAAAGUGUGUGUAGGUGGCUUUUUAAGUCCAAAGUCAAAUCCCAGGGCUCAACCCUGGACAGGCGGUGGAAACUACCAAAGUGGAGUAGAGUAGGGGCAGAGGGAAUUUCCGGUGGAGAAAUGAAAUGAGUAGAGAUGGGAAAGCACACCAGCGGGGAAACCACUGUGCUGGGCCGACAAUGACAGUGAGAAACGAAAGGGAGGGAACAGAAUUAGAUUAGAUACCCCUGCAGUCCUAGCCGUA